rnacentral:rRNA from 1 species
AUUGAACGCUGGCGGCAGGCCUAACACAUGCAAGUCGAACGGUAGCACAGAGAGCUUGCUCUCGGGUGACGAGUGGCGGACAGGUGAGUAACGUCUGGGAAACUGCCCGAUGGAGGGGGAUAACUACUGGAAACGGUAGCUAAUACCGCAUAACGUCGCAAGACCAAAGUGGGGGACCUUCGGGCCUCACACCAUCGGAUGAGCCCAGAUGGGAUUAGCUAGUAGGUGGGGUAAUGGCUCACCUAGGCGACGAUCCCUAGCUGGUCUGAGAGGAUGACCAGCCACACUGGAACUGAGACACGGUCCAGACUCCUACGGGAGGCAGCAGUGGGGAAUAUUGCACAAUGGGCGCAAGCCUGAUGCAGCCAUGCCGCGUGUAUGAAGAAGGCCUUCGGGUUGUAAAGUACUUUCAGCGGGGAGGAAGGCGGUGAAGUUAACAGCUUCACCGAUUGACGUUACCCGCAGAAGAAGCACCGGCUAACUCCGUGCCAGCCGCCGCAGUAA